rnacentral:lncRNA from 1 species
AAAAUAAAUAAUAAAAAAAAUAAAAAAAUGAAUUUUUAAGGAUUCUUUACCGAAUCCACGGUUGCAGAUGGUCUAAUAUUAGAUGAUAAGUGUCUUAUUAUUUGUUUUGUUGGAAAGUGAGUUGGUCUUUUACUCAAAAGUAUCCACCAAGGAGAACUUCCCCUCUCACAAUGCAUAAAAUGUGCAAAAGAUCUUAAUUGUACAUGACAUGAGUUACAUAUUGAGACACUUUUUCUCUCUUUUUAACACAUUCAGACACAACACGCUGGAGGGACACUUUAUCAUGUUUCUGAGCUGAUUUGAGACCAAUAUGCCCC